CAGGUGUGCUGAUCAGCUCUUCCUACACAAUCAAGUUAUGCAUUGCUUCCUAUUGCUGAAUUGUGACAAGAGAGAGGCCUCCACUAGGAGUGGGUGACUGGAGCACCAGCAAGGGCACCAAUUUAGAAGGGGCACAAGAAUGGCAGUUGCUACUGUUGAUUGCUCAGCCACCAUUGCUGCGACUGCCACCACUGCCACCCAAGGUACAGGAAUUGCUUGUUAUGCCUCUUCUACCAACCACCUACACAUCUUGAACCUACAAAUAUUUGAACAAGUGACUAACUUCCUAAUGAAAAAAAAUCAUUGAAACUGGUAUGAAGAAACACCUUUUAUCCUUCUGGAAGUUCAUUUAAGGAAGGUUUCAAUGAGAUGAGAGAAAAGAAAAUGGGAAAAUGACCAUCCUUUGGAGGAACUGAAAAUGAAGAGACAGAGAAAUAGUGAAAAAUGGAUCAGAUAUUCAGCAGGUGUGAAUAAGCGGAGCUCCAGUGAAGUCAAAGGGAUCUGCACCCAGUGGUGUAACAAAGGUAGGGUGACAGGGCAAACAUCCCAGGUAGUGACAGG